rnacentral:rRNA from 1 species
CUCCGCCGGCGACCGGCGCACGGGUGAGUAACACGUAUGCAACCUGCCCCUGUCAGGGGGACAACCCGCCGAAAGGCGGGCUGAACCCGCGUACAUGCCACCGGGGCAUCCCGGAGGCAGGAAAGGCUUCGGCCGGACAGGGAUGGGCAUGCGGCGCAUUAGGCAGUAGGCGGGGUAACGGCCCACCUAACCGACGAUGCGUAGGGGUUCUGAGAGGAAGGUCCCCCACACUGGUACUGAGACACGGACCAGACUCCUACGGGAGGCAGCAG